rnacentral:rRNA from 1 species
AGAAUCAACGCUGGCGGCGUGCCUAACACAUGCAAGUCGCACGAGAAAGGGGAACAAUCCCUGAGUACAGUGGCGCACGGGUGAGUAACACGUGAAUGAUCUACCUCCGAGUGGGGAAUAACUGAGAGAAAUCUUAGCUAAUACCGCAUAAUACCCACGGGUCAAAGCAGCAAUGCGCUUGGAGAGGAGUUCGCGGCAGAUUAGUUAGUUGGCGGGGUAAUGGCCCACCAAGACAGUGAUCUGUA